GAAAAACCAGGGAGAAUACCGUCGCUGGAUCCUGGCUACUCUGGGAGGCACCUGAAAGAGGUACGCUACGGAACUCCUUGCUCUUGUUUUUCCUUCGUUGUUUUUACUUUUUCUAUCUUCUUCUGAAGGUUUUUCAUACGUACACUGUGGUCUACCUUUCGGCUUUGUCUAUAACUAGGAGCAGGAUUCUCGGCUGUUUGUCGCAUUUCGCUAGAGGCUCCUCGCGUUUGCUGCGCUCGAAUCGGGUCUAGAUCACAAAAGCCGGCCCCAGAAGAGAGAGUAGUUCCAGCCGGCCUU
rnacentral:lncRNA from 1 species